rnacentral:rRNA from 1 species
UGCGUAGGCGGAAUAUUAAGUCAGGGGUGAAAGUUUGCGGCUCAACCGUAAAAUUGCCUUUGAUACUGGUAAUCUUGAGUACAUUUGAGGUAGGCGGAAUGUGAUGUGUAGCGGUGAAAUGCUUAGAUAUAUCACAGAACACCGAUUGCGAAGGCAGCUUACUAAACUGUAACUGACGCUGAGGCACGAAAGCGUGGGUAUCGAACAGGAUUAGAUACCCUGGUAGUCC